CCUCUCGGGGUUACAGCCUUGCUGAAUUAUUCACCCUUGUCUUUUGCGUACUUCUUGUUUCCUUGGUGGGUUCGCCCACCACUAGGACAAACAUAAACCUUUUGUAAUUGCAAUCAGCGUCAGUAACAAAUUAAUAAUUACAACUUUCAACAACGGAUCUCUUGGUUCUGGCAUCGAUGAAGAACGCAGCGAAAUGCGAUAAGUAGUGUGAAUUGCAGAAUUCAGUGAAUCAUCGAAUCUUUGAACGCACAUUGCGCCCUUUGGUAUUCCAAAGGGCAUGCCUGUUCGAGCGUCAUUUGUACCCUCAAGCUUUGCUUGGUGUUGGGCGUCUUGUCUCUAGCUUUGCUGGAGACUCGCCUUAAAGUAAUUGGCAGCCGGCCUACUGGUUUCGGAGCGCAGCACAAGUCGCACUCUCUAUCAGCAAAGGUCUAGCAUCCAUUAAGCCUUUUUUUUCAACUUUUGACCUCGGAUCAGGUAGGGAUACCCGCUGAACUUAAGCAUAUCAAUAAGCGGAGGAA
rnacentral:rRNA from 1 species